CAAAGGUUUGGUCCUAGCCUUAUAGUCAACUGUUACCCAACUUACACAUGCAAGCAUCUGCACCCCCGUGAAAACACCCCCCAACCCCAACGGAAGGAGGAGUCGGUAUCAGGCACAGAACCCUCGCCCACUACACCUAGCUACGCCACACCCACAAGGGCUACAGCAGUGAUAAACCUUGGUUAUAAGCGCCAGCUUGAACCAGCAAGGGUAAGAAGAGCCGGCUAAUAUGGUGCCAGCCGCCGCGGCUACACCAUAGACUCAAGUUGAUCCCCUAACGGCGUUAAGCGUGGUUAAAGCUCCACCAAUUAGAACCAUACCCCAACCAAGUUGUAAUACACUUGUAUGUGGGACACCCAUAAACGAAAGUUGUUCUAAAUUCUUGACCCCACGACAGCCGGGGAACAAACUGGGAUUAGAUACCCCACUAUGCCCGACCGUAAAACAUUAACUUACAAACCCAACCGCCAGAGAAUUACGAGCCUAAGCUUAAAACUCAAAGGACUUGACGGUGUCCCACCCAUCUAGAGGAGCCUGUUCUAUAAUCGAUACCCCCCGAUAAACCUCACCACUCCUAGCCCCCAGCCUGUAUACCUCCGUCGCAAGCUUACCCUGUGAAUGAUCCAGUGAGCUUAAUGAGCCUCCCUCAACACGUCAGGUCAAGGUGCAGCCCACGAAGUGGAAAGCAAUGGGCUACAAUUUCUACCCUUAGAACACCACGGAAAGCCGCAUGAAACACGGCCGUAAGGCGGAUUUAGCAGUAAAAAACAAUUAGAGAAUUUUUUUUAACUAGGCCCUGGGACGCGUACACACCGCCCGUCGCCCUCUUCAAACGCAACAACCCGGUAUAUUACCCCUCCCUCGCAACAUAGAAGAGGCAAGUCGUAACACGGUAAGCGUACUGGAAAGUGCGCUUGG
rnacentral:rRNA from 1 species